AGGCAGCAGUGGGGAAUAUUGCACAAUGGGGGAAACCCUGAUGCAGCCAUGCCGCGUGUGUGAAGAAGGCCUUCGGGUUGUAAAGCACUUUCAGCGAGGAGGAAAGGUCAGUAGCUAAUAUCUGCUGACUGUGACGUUACUCGCAGAAGAAGCACCGGCUAACUCCGUGCCAGCAGCCGCGGUAAUACGGAGGGUGCAAGCGUUAAUCGGAAUUACUGGGCGUAAAGCGCACGCAGGCGGUUGGAUAA
rnacentral:rRNA from 1 species